ensembl:lncRNA
CUGUAAAUCAAUCAGUGAGAAGUUUCACCUGAAAUCGAUCUUAUUAAUGAUCAGGCUGAUUUGUUAAUAACUCACGGAUCAUCUGUACCGAUCCGGCUGUCGGUCUGAUUCGGAGUGCUGCCAGUUCUGACUCAGCCUCGGAUCCUUACCUUGAAGUUCGGAGCUGAAGUUGGACUGAAGGACUGAGGCCGCCGGAAACCGUCCCCUCUGCGCCGCAUCGGACCCCCGAACCCCUGCGUGCCGCUGCUGAACCCGGCCGGAGAAUCUCCGAACCUCCGGGAACCGUUUCCGAACCCGGCUGGAGAUCCGUCUCUGUAUCCUCGAUUAGAACCCGGAGAGUAGCUUGGAGAUCCCGGAGAGUAGGGGGAGUAGCCCCGCGGGGAGCCUCCGUAUGGGGAACGGGGGAAGCCCCAGCCGGACGCCGGGGAAGAGAACCUCCCAGCCGGCCGUGGAGCUCCGGGACUCCGCUGAUGUUUGUCCGGAGCACGGAACAUGUGAGGGGGUAAAGAGCGACAAAGAGCGGGAGAGGAGAAUCAAACUGCUGCCACAGGACGACGAACAACACAACAAAACACCAGGAGGCCGGAACCGGAAACACAGCUUGUAGCUCCGCCCACAGACUGCAGCGCCGCUCAGCGGACAGCAGGGUGAACAGUUCUGUUCAUAUCCGUGUAAAGGACUGCUUCACAGAGACAGACUGGGACAUAUUUGAACACCAGGACCUAGAAACUUUCACAGGAUCCAUACUGGACUACAUCAAGUUCUGUACUGCAAAUGUGACAGUGGACAAAAGCAUUCGGGUUUUCCCAAACUAAAAACCCUGGAUGACCAGCGAGGUCCGCUCACUCCUCAAAGCCCGUGAUGCCCCCUUCAGGUCAGGUGACAGAGCUCUGUACAGGGCUGCCCGAGCUGACCUGAAAAGGGGGAUUAAAAAUGCCAAGUCAGACCACAAAAGGAACAUUGAGUCCCACCUGUCCAGCAACAACACACGGGAGGUGUGGCAGGGAAUGCAAGACAUUAUCAACCACGGAGGCAGCACUGCGAAAACAGAAAACCCGAGUGUCCAGCUAGCA